rnacentral:rRNA from 1 species
UGGCGGCGUGCCUAAUACAUGCAAGUUGAGCGCUGAAGGUUGGUACUUGUACCGACUGGAUGAGCAGCGAACGGGUGAGUAACGCGUGGGGAAUCUGCCUUUGAGCGGGGAACAACAUUUGGAAACGAAUGCUAAUACCGCAUAAAAACUUUAAACACAAGUUUUAAGUUUGAAAGAUGCAAUUGCAUCACUCAAAGAUGAUCCCGCGUUGUAUUAGCUAGUUGGUGAGGUAAAGGCUCACCAAGGCGAUGAUACAUAGCCGACCUGAGAGGGUGAACGGCCACAUUGGGACUGAGACACGGCCCAAACUCCUACGGGAGGCAGCAGUAGGGAAUCUUCGGCAAUGGACGAAAGUCUGACCGAGCAACGCCGCGUGAGUGAAGAAGUUUUUCGGAUCGUAAAACUCUGUUGGUAGAGAAGAACGUUGGUGAGAGUGGAAAGCUCAUCAAGUGACGGUAACUACCCAGAAAGGGACGGCUAACUACGUGCCAGCAGCCGCGGUAAUACGUAGGUCCCGAGCGUUGUCCGGAUUUAUUGGGCGUAAAGCGAGCGCAGGUGGUUUAUUAAGUCUGGUGUAAAAGGCAGUGGCUCAACCAUUGUAUGCAUUGGAAACUGGUAGACUUGAUUGCAGGAGAGGAGAGUGGAAUUC